GCCGGAGUAGUUCAGUGGCAGAACACUUUCAUGGUAAGAAAGGGGUCGGGAGUUCGAUUCUCCCCUCCGGCU
rnacentral:tRNA from 1 species